ACGUGUACUAAGCCAAAGGGACUCCAUCACUACAGCAGUCUCCCGUCUGCCUCUGCACUUAUCUCAGAGCUGACCACAGCACCGCCCCGACUGGUACUGCUGUCCCUCCCACCAUCCUCAGCUCUCUGGAAGUCAUGUGGUCUGUCGGGGGUCACCUGAGUCAUGAACCGGUACGUGUGACGCCCAGCUCAGUCACACUCCCUGGCAGUGAGUCAGCAGUGCUCGUCUGCCCACUCAGACCAAGGUUGAUUUGCUGGGUAAAAUUAACGAGGCAUGAAAAACAAGAGCCCCAUCAGAUAACACUGCUGUUUUCUUGGAGGGAAGAACAAAGAGUUAUUCAUGUAAAACGGAGAGAUCCUAACCUACAAGAAUGAGGUCUGUGACUGCUUCUCAGAUGGAGACAUUCCAUGUGGUGUCCUGAAAAGUAUGGACUGUACUACCACAGAACCACAAAUACGACAGGAUGAACAUAGAGGACGAGUACGUGUUGCUUUUGAAGUAUUCCCCACCCCUCCCACAAGUGAAAUAUUCAUUCCAAGUCCAGUUCAGCAGAAGUGCCUCCAACAGAGAAGAGCUGCGAGAGAAUAAAAGCCUUAAGAGCUGAUCUUGAUCAUGCUUCUAUUCAAGGGCUCAACAUUCUCAGCAUAAAUCACAGGACGGUGGAGACAGGAGAGGGGGUGGCCAUUAUUACUGCUCCAAAUGUCUGCUCUCCAUGAAGCCUCCCCUCCACCCACCUACCUCAUCAACUCUGUAACUAGGCUUUGGGGUCAAUGGAAUGGGGGUGGAGGUGACACGUGCCUCCCCUGAGUAGAAGGCUUCCAAGUCAUCUGUUUCCCUUUGCCCUGAGACCUGCUGUGUCCAAUGAAGACUGCCGCUCAGUUGGCCUGAGCUCCAGGGAAAAAAGGCAGUGGACACAGUAGACACGUAAGUCAGGCAAGACACAAGUCUUUGUUUCUGAAGGCCAAAGAGAUCCAUGGGUCAUGCACUGUCACGGCAUGAUUAAGCCUAAGCUAUUUGACAAAGGAAAGAUUUCAAAAAUCCAAGUCCUACCCUUUUGUUUUUAUAGAAGGAAACUGUGUGGAGGAAGAAGAAUGACUGGCCCAAGGUAGCACUGUCCUUGUGGUCAGGGCCAGACAGACCAGAGCUUGGAGCUCUCCUUCUGCACAGCAACCACACAAGUAGUAAGAGUGGGAUCUGAUUCUCAACC